UACGUAGGGUGCAAGCGUUAAUCGGAAUUACUGGGCGUAAAGCGUGCGCAGGCGGUUAUGUAAGACAGAUGUGAAAUCCCCGGGCUCAACCUGGGAACUGCAUUUGUGACUGCAUAGCUAGAGUACGGUAGAGGGGGAUGGAAUUCCGCGUGUAGCAGUGAAACGCGUAGAUAUGCGGAGGAACACCGAUGGCGAAGGCAAUCCCCUGGACCUGUACUGACGCUCAUGCACGAAAGCGUGGGGAGCAAACAGG
rnacentral:rRNA from 1 species